rnacentral:lncRNA from 1 species
UGCUGCAAAGUGGAAAACAACUAUUAGAUUAAAUAUUGGAUGAUCCGUUAAAGGUAAGAAAUAUUUUUAUCAUUGCUCAUCACAUACAUACCGUUCUUGGAAUAACAAAACCAGAGAACAGGUUCCAAAAACUGAUGAAGAAAGACAUAACGAUUGCAGCAAUUUGGUGGUUUGGUGUCAGAGCCACAGUCAUCAUUCCAUAUAGUGUGAAGUAGAUAAAAGACAUGAAUAUGAAGAAGUAGAACCAAAAGAAAUUUUCAACUUGUUGUUCAAACCCAAUCAUCCAGUAAAGGAUAAUGGAAUAUAUCAGACUUUGGAUUGCAACAUAAACUACUUCAAUUGCUACCUGCAAGAAAAUAGUUCUUUUAAUGUAAUUUUGUUUAGUUAUCUUUGUUAAUUAAUGUUAUUUUAAUUGAAGGGGUUGUCUAGUUUCACCUGACCAAUUGCAUAUGGUAGUUCUGAGUAUAAUCCAGCAGCCCUUUCACGGUAGAGAACUGUUCUUUCUAUUGCCACAAUAGGUUGCACACUGCUAGUGUUGGUUGCACCGAGGAAAAUAACAGAUGCAUACAUGGCUCCAACAAGAUUCAAAAGGUCUUGUUCCUUUUCCCUGCAAAAUAUGAUAUAUUUUUUCUCAUGUAAUAUAUACAAUUAUGAAACCAUUUUUUUUCAUUACUUUAGAACGGUUAUUUGCAAAAUAAAUUGUUGAUUGAAUUUAUUCUCAAAUAAGGAAAUCAAUAGUUUUAUUGGUUGUUUGUAAUUUAUAAAGGGCAGUGUUUGUGGGUUGAGUUUGAUGUCACCAUUUGGUUUCCCAAACAAAGAGGCUGUUGAACUAAGCCAUCUUUUUCACCAUGGUCCAAUGUCUAAUGAUAUCAUGGGGAAAAGCUGUGAUUGAGAAGCUACGGAAACAUGUCAUUGUUUGUUGGAGUUAGAAACAAUAUAAAAGAUAACAGGCAUUGGUAAAAUAUAAUAUUGUCUAAGACUUACAUCUUAUCUCCUUUUUUCCAAUAUAUAAGUCCAAACAUAACACCGAUAACUAUGGUGAUAAAGAAUCUCACAACAAUAUAUUGUGGAUUCUUCCAAUAGGAGCAAUAUUGUUUCCAGAAGCAAGCGAUGCACUGAGUAAUAAAGGAUUGUGAGUAUUUAGAUGGAAAGUGAAGGUCCUUUGUUUCAGGUGCUGAUAUGGACAGUUCCUUGAUAAGUUCCUGGUUACUUCUGGAAAUGAGUUAUACAAGCAUAAAAAAGUAAAACAUCAUGAGAUAUUUUAGGCAAAUAUGGGUAAAAAGAAACAGAAUCUCUCAAAAAGCUAUGACUAUGAGUAUCACGUACUGGUAAAGGCUUGACUUAGUGUAUAACUCAGCAAAAUCUAUAUUAAGCCGAGACUCAACCAAAGGAGAACUUAUCUCCAACAUCCAUGUGGCUGGAUUAUAUCUAUCUUUAAUCUUUGGAAUUCCUGUAAUAGCCUGAAAAGUUUACGCAAUCUGUAAGAUUACUUACAUCUAACUAAUUUAGGUUUGUAAAUUAUCAUGGUACAAGUUUACCUCAAAGUACUCUAUAAGUUUCUCUGAAUUUCGACCUAGAGGACCACCAUAUAUCACUUGUCCACCACUCUUCAUCAAAAGCAACUAAACUCAAGAUAUGCCAAUAGUUAGUAUCUUCUAAAUCGUAAUGAAAAUAAAUUUGUACGUUUUCAAAAUUUUGGUAUUCUUAUUUACCUCAUCAAAAUGUUCAAAUAUAUCAAUACUUGGUUGAUGAAUUGUGCAUACAACAGUUCUUCCUGUAUCAACAGUGUUUCUAACAGUACGCAUAACAACUGCUGCAGCUCUAGCAUCAAGACCAGUUGUUGGCUCAUCCAUAAAUAUAAUGGAAGGAUUUGCAACCAAUUCUACUGCAAUUGUAAGCCUCUUUCUCUGCUC